rnacentral:tRNA from 1 species
GCGAGUAUCGUAUAGUGGCUAUUACACCACCUUGCCAUGGUGGGGACAGGGGUUCGAUUCCCCUUACUCGCUCCA